rnacentral:lncRNA from 1 species
CACAGCACCUUUACAAUUAAAUAUUCAUUCCAUUUUUAUUAUUAUAGCUUAGCCUAGAGAAUUAAGUAAACAUGUGUUACUUCACUCCUACACACCGUUUAAACGCAGCUAACAGGCUUUCUGAAUAAACCAGCCCGCCCCCGGCGGUAUCAGGAGUUAGGUUCCGCAUAUGCUGUCGCCAGGCUGCAGCCGCCUGAGGGGACUCGCCCGGGGCCCCGCCCUCAGAGCUCACACCCGCCGUGCGCUCGCGCCCCAGGGGCCGCCCCCCGACACUCCAGUGCGACUCUGCGUGCACAGGCCAGAGGCUCAGAACCAGCGCCGGGCUGCCCUGCUCGGCCUCCUGGGCGCAGCGGCGUUUGCCCGUGCACGUGCCCUCGCAUCGCGCGCUCCGGGGCCGGGCUCCGGGCGGUUCUCGCCGCUGCAGUUCCACCGGGACUUCCGCGCUUCGGCGGCCUGUCUGACGAGCCGCCGCGCCCAGAGAGGUUCAGGUUGGAGCGACACUUGCCAGAGGGCAGCGGUCACGCCAGAUCUUCGGCUUCCAUUCCGUUUUCGCGCGCUUCUCCCUCUUUGCAAGCUCUGGAUUCUCUUUGUUCUUUCCCAGUAGAGGAAUCCCAAGGAGGACUGAUCCGUUUUGGCAGGUGCACAACCAUGGUCUUCCAGGUAUAGUGAGGCUGGUCUAUUUGAGACCCCCCUGGCUUUCUGUUGGCUCCCAUAGGCUUGGAUGCUGCUGCCCCAUCAUGACCGGUGAUGAUGCUUGUCCUGGGUUGUCUGAAGGUUCGCACUUAAGUAUCUCUGGUGAGAUGCCCCACGGACAGCUUUACGCAGCACACUAGGAGGUGGGCUUCUUGAAGAUCCAUUACCAUGGCUUACUCGCAGAGUCCUUUCAGCUGAAUUCCAGGAUCUGAGAACACUCCUGUUUGCAGGCAAUGUUCUCCCCGGAAGGGCCAUAAGAGGAAUGGGCAGAACAUCCUGUUUGCAAGCCAGCUCAGCCGCAACUCAGCUCCAUGAAAUGUCCUGUAUGCAAGCACAUUCAUGUUCUUAGGCCAGAUCUCCUUCAAUGUUAUAUGUCUAUUAUAUCAAAAUUUUAAAUAAACGAAUCCAAGUGUAUACUUUAAAUAUGUGCUGUGUUCUAUAUCAAU